UACGUAGGUGGCGAACGUUGUCCGGAAUUACUGGGCGUAAAGCGUGCGCAGGCGGUGAUGUAAGACAGGUGUGAAAUCCCCGGGCUUAACCUGGGAACUGCAUUUGUGACUGCAUCGCUGGAGUGCGGCAGAGGGGGAUGGAAUUCCGCGUGUAGCAGUGAAAUGCGUAGAUAUGCGGAGGAACACCGAUGGCGAAGGCAAUCCUCUGGGCCUGCACUGACGCUCAUGCACGAAAGCGUGGGGAGCAAACAGG
rnacentral:rRNA from 1 species